UAAGGAAUAUUGGUCAAUGGAGGCAACUCUGAACCAGCCAUGCCGCGUGCAGGAAGACUGCCCUAUGGGUUGUAAACUGCUUUUAUCCGGGAAUAAACCUUUCUACGUGUAGAGAGCUGAAUGUACCGGAAGAAUAAGGAUCGGCUAACUCCGUGCCAGCAGCCGCGGUAAUACGGAGGAUCCAAGCGUUAUCCGGAUUUAUUGGGUUUAAAGGGUGCGUAGGCGGCAGUUUAAGUCAGAGGUGAAAGACGGUAGCUCAACUAUCGCAGUGCCUUUGAUACUGAAUUGCUUGAAUGAACUAGAGGUAGGCGGAAUGAGACAAGUAGCGGUGAAAUGCAUAGAUAUGUCUCAGAACACCGAUUGCGAAGGCAGCUUACUAUGGUUUUAUUGACGCUGAGGCACGAAAGCGUGGGGAUCAAACA
rnacentral:rRNA from 1 species